rnacentral:rRNA from 2 species
GCAGUCGAACGAAACUUUCUUACACCGAAUGCUUGCAUUCAUCGUAAGAAGUUGAGUGGCGGACGGGUGAGUAACACGUGGGUAACCUGCCUAAAAGAAGGGGAUAACACUUGGAAACAGGUGCUAAUACCGUAUAUCUCUAAGGAUCGCAUGAUCCUUAGAUGAAAGAUGGUUCUGCUAUCGCUUUUAGAUGGACCCGCGGCGUAUUAACUAGUUGGUGGGGUAACGGCCUACCAAGGUGAUGAUACGUAGCCGAACUGAGAGGUUGAUCGGCCACAUUGGGACUGAGACACGGCCCAAACUCCUACGGGAGGCAGCAGUAGGGAAUCUUCCACAAUGGACGCAAGUCUGAUGGAGCAACGCCGCGUGAGUGAAGAAGGUCUUCGGAUCGUAAAACUCUGUUGUUAGAGAAGAACACGAGUGAGAGUAACUGUUCAUUCGAUGACGGUAUCUAACCAGCAAGUCACGGCUAACUACGUGCCAGCAGCCGCGGUAAUACGUAGGUGGCAAGCGUUGUCCGGAUUUAUUGGGCGUAAAGGGAACGCAGGCGGUCUUUUAAGUCUGAUGUGAAAGCCUUCGGCUUAACCGGAGUAGUGCAUUGGAAACUGGAAGACUUGAGUGCAGAAGAGGAGAGUGGAACUCCAUGUGUAGCGGUGA